rnacentral:rRNA from 1 species
AGAGAGUCAAAAAGACCGCGAAACCGUUAGGAGGGAAGCGAAUGCAGCUGAAUCGGCUCUGCUCAAGUUCAGGAGCGACGUCGGUCAGCGAUGCCGGUCUGCGAGAGCCGAGAGGCUUCGCUCUCCGGAUAGCUGUCGACUCCUCUGCACUCUUGUGCGAGCCGGCCAACGACGGUCGUCGGCGGCUGAGAAGGGCCUUCGGGUAGGUGCUCGCUCCUCGGAGCGAUACUUAUAGCCGUCGGUCUGGAAGUCCGCGGGCGACCGAGGAUGACUGGCAGUGCGGGCCUUCGGGGCUUUGGGCCGCUCCUGGCCGUUUGGUCACCGCGUGAGGGUCUGCGUGCAGUGCCUGACGACGGAUGAACUCUCGGGCGGGAUGUCGGUGACACGUCGCGCUGCAGUCGUUGGUGCUCGAAUGGCUGCAUCCGACCCGUCU